GAAAGCUUUAUUGAUCAAGGUGGGGUUCUGUGACGCCUUUGUCUGGUCGUUGAACACAAACGAAGUACGCGAAGUUGCAGCUAUGGCGAACUUUUAAUCUAAACAAAACCCAAGUCUAAAUGAUGCCUUAAGGGCUAUAUUUAUAGGGAAAAGAGAGGGGAUUUUGUCCACCCUUGGCAAGGUGGGACUAAAACACCUCCUAAGUCGUUUCCCCUACAAUAUGGACUCUAAAAAUAGAUUACAUGGGCCUGGCCCAAAAUAAGGUCGCGGCACACCAAUAAUAAGCUAUGGACGAAAUUUAUGAAAGGCCAUCUUGUAUAUUUCGUCCAUCUUCUUGUAUGUCAUCAUGGUGGCUUCAAAGUCCGGAAUCUCCACUUGAACCUCCGUUCUUGUUCUCCUCGCACGCACCUUCAUCUCCGUGCUUGACCAUGCUCCAAUGUUCAACCUUCUUGUCCGUGCUAGGUCCUGAUAAUUUAAUUGGCAUAUCUGAGCUCUAGCAAUUGUUCUAAGAGGUAAAACAGCAGGGGAUAUGGGUGUAACUGGGGUGGCCAUGUCCUCAUCAUCCUCCCCUUCUUGAAAACAAAUCCGUCCUCGGUGUUGCUUAAUCUGAAAUCUGGCUAACAAAAGAGACAAGGUGUACACAUUGUAUAUGUAUAUGUCAUCCAUUUUUACUGAUCUCAGUUGGGGCACAUGUGACACAGUUAUACAAGAGCACCCUUCAAAAGUCAUGAAAUAUAAAGCCUAUAUAUUAUCACAAGAAUUCAAAGGCAUGAAAAUAUUGCAACUUAGUUUGCACAUAUAAGUGAAGCUCUUGUUCAUAUCAAAAGAUUGACAAUGCUUAUAAUUAAACCAUCCUAACAUUGAUGAAUCAUCACCAAGAUUAGAGGUCAUAUCAAAAUGAUUAAACAUUGGCACAAUUAAUUUCAAACGUAUUUCAUCCAAAUAUGAUUUAUUCCCUGAUUCACAUGAUUCUUUUGCGUCAAUAGUUAAUUCAAUGGGUUCACUCAAAAUUGUUUGAUCACAUGGCAAAGUCAAAUCAUGAACAUAGUCCUCUAAAAUAGCUGGUGUGAUCAAAGUAGUGGGUAGCUCAUCGCAUGGUUCAUUUAAAUUAACAAGGCAUUCAUCAUACUCAUGUGGAGGUGGAAGAUCGGUACCUUUGCCAUUACCUCUUAUGAUCAACAAAGAUGAUGUAGGCACUCUAGGUAGCGACACGGCACAUGGUGGAGGUGAUGUAGUGCUCUCAACAAUGGAUGUUGUUUUCAUAGGAGACACAGUGGUGGAAGGAACAACCAUCGCAACUCUUGGGAUUUGCACCUUCCGCUUGUUUGUCUUGUGGGCAACACGUCUUGUUAUCUCCUGUUCAGCUUUGUAAGCAAGACGAAACAAACGGUCCAUAUGAUAACAUGUUUCAUGAAUUAGUAUAUCCUGAAUGUCACGGUUUAAUCCGCCCCAAAAUCUAUCCAUAAAAUCUUCUUCACUUUCUUCUAAAGAGGAAUGCAACAAGGUAGUUUGUAAAUCAUCAUAAUAUUUCGUUACGGUGUCACUACCUUGUUUUAAAUGUUGCAACUUUUUCAUCAUGUCACGAGUAUAAUAAGCGGGGACAAAUGUAUGUCGCAUGGCAAGUUUCAAAUCAUCCCAAGUAGUAGGUAUAUAAUCAGGGUGUAACCGACAAUAUUCACUCCACCAAACUAAAGCAUAACCGGUGAAAGAACCAACCGCAACCUUAACUUUUUUAUGUUCAUCAAAAUUAUGGGAAGCAAAUAUAUUAUUUAUGUUGAACUCCCAUUCAAUAUAUAAAGCAGGUCUAAAACGCCCAUUAAAUGGUGGUAUAGAAACAUUAACCUGAACAUGUGCAUCUGGAUGUUUGUGCACCUCUCGUGACGGUUGUGAUAUUUGCAUAGGUGGUGGCACGUCUCCCGCGAUCGGCAAAGCCCAUGAAUUGACUCUAGAUCCUGUCAUGAUUAGUAGAAACAAGAAACAACAUCCAAAAAUAAUGCUCCUAUAACUACUAGGAUGUGGUGGUAAAACGCUCACAGUAAAGCAAAUAUCAAUGUCUUACAAGUUCUUACCAUGCAGCAGGCGGUGAUCGGCAACCAGCGGUGUCAAGUAACUAACUCCAAAAGUUGGUUAAAGCGAUUGCCAGGUGAACUAUAGAUACAUGGUGUAGAAAUAUGUGGAGCUGGGUUGGCUUUAUAUAUGUGGAAAAAAAUGCUACAACCAUGUUAAUUAAUGCAAGCUGAAAAUUCGUUCAAAGUGGUCGAGUGCUGGUCCUAGGCUAGACUGUACUAGAGACGCGAGCCUAAGACACAGACGAAUUCACGAUAUGCCGCGAACACCAGCCCGUAUUGUUCUUCUAACCACAUUUUUUUUUACAGCAACAAGACACGUGGUACAAGCCUCCUUUCACUUUUUCUUUUAUCCAUUCUCCAAAGAAAUCCAAUCGAGUGGGGCAACCUCUUUUUUUUUACCACAGCCAAAGUACUACAACGUACUAGUAGUCUAUAUCACAAGGAUCACUAUUUUUUUCUUACCUAAGCCCCACGUGGCAAUGUUGGAUAAUGAUUUUUUUUUCGUUGGAAACUAAACUUGCCAAUCAAACCGAAAUAACCCUUCCAAAUAUCACGUGAGCAACCUCAAUUCUAGGAACUAUUCACGUUUUUUUUCUUUAUGGCUGAUCUUACUUGCCUUUUCCAAGGAAAACAAUAACAACAACCCUUCCAAAAGAUGCGGCUGAAGCCUUUAAUUCGUCCUCUCUUUUUUUUCUUCUUUUUUCUGAUUGUUUCCUUUCCUUAUUCUCUUUGCGUGGAGAGACCCAAACAGCAGUUUUUUUUUUCAAUCUGGCCGAUCCAAAUCUGCCCAAUAUAGCACUAGUAUCCCUUCACGUAUCCUCUCCUUUUAUGCACUUUCCAAACUCAAAACGUGGACACUAUCUAAUAGGAUACCCACGAAUCUAUCAUUCCAAAUAUCAGCAGUAUUUUUUAUUUUAGUUCGGGUCAGCACAAGUGCACCGAUCAGAUCUCACUCCCUAUUUUUUUUAUAAGCCGAUCCAAACCUGCCAAUCAUAAAAAGAUGCGCUGGUGGCUUUCCUUGUAACGUCAAUUGUUUCCUUCCUUCUUGAUUUCCACAAACACAGGGAUUUAUCAAAGAGAGCAACACGCCAGCACUUGCCUUUUUUCUCUGUCUUUUAUUUCUUGCUAAAUGCAAAAACGUGGCUGACUAGUACACUUUCCAAACAAACAGCACAACAACCGGAGCAACUUUCUUGGCAGAAUCUUCCAACCAAAUCAAUUCGUUUUGCCUUCCAAACCAAGUACUAGUACUCCAAUCAAAUAUGUUUCCUUUCUUUUCUAUUCGGAUCAGCCCCACGUGUAAAGAACGGCCUGCUCUUUUUUUUUCCAGGUAACAGUAGACGUGCAAGUUGGCAGAACGUGGAUGUCUUUCCUUGUGCGCCUAGGAGAAGAAUUUUUUUUUUUUACUUUUGCUGAUCCACACGUCCUCUUUAUCUCCAAAAGAAAAGAACAAACCAAACUCCACGUAUUGUUGUUCUUGGAAACCAAAACGAAUCUUGCUGGGUUUUUUUUCCUCUCCAAACACCAAACGUGCCACACAAGGACACGUCCCCAAGAACAACUAGUCUAAUUCCUGUUCCUUUGUAUUCUGCUAUGUGACGAUGAUGUGAUGAUGGCAAAACAACUGAUGGAUGACGAUGAUGGCGACAGCGGUGGCGAAGAAAAUGAAUGGCAGUGGAAAACGAUAAAGAAGUGGAUGAUGGUGUAUGCGAAAGCGCGUGACAAAAACGUGACCAGAACUCGAAACUCUAAAAGACUAGAUACUAAAACCAGCAGCUCGACACACGAUGCAAUUCAACAAUGCAAAAACUAAGUGAUAAUAGCAAAAAGGCUCAGACAGUCUUGGACACGGAUGAACUAAUCUAACUUUUUUUGUGGCUUUUUUCUUGGACUAUAGGUAUGAAGAACAGACUUGAUCUAAACUACGAAAAACUGUAAAAUCUCACCGAGCAACCUGGAAAUCUGAUACCACUUGAUAGAGGCAAAGGUGUCCCGUCUUUCGAUGAGAUGGUGGCUAUCGUUUUGGAGGAAGUCGACUUUGACGAUCCGACUACGAACGUGCGAGGACGUCGCGCCUUAGCAAUCGCUAAACCAACUCCGAGAGGUUAUUGACCACGCCGGAGCACGAUCAACCUGACCACAAAGGUCUAUUUCCUACAGGCAAACGAAGAACAAGCAAGAAACUAAGAUUGCAAUCUGGAUGUUGCGAAUAUAAGAGGAAAGCUUUAUUGAUCAAGGUGGGGUUCUGUGACGCCUUUGUCUGGUCGUUGAACACAAACGAAGUACGCGAAGUUGCAGCUAUGGCGAACUUUUAAUCUAAACAAAACCCAAGUCUAAAUGAUGCCUUAAGGGCUAUAUUUAUAGGGAAAAGAGAGGGGAUUUUGUCCACCCUUGGCAAGGUGGGACUAAAACACCUCCUAAGUCGUUUCCCCUACAAUAUGGACUCUAAAAAUAGAUUACAUGAGCCUGGCCCAAAAUAAGGUCGCGGCACACCAAUAAUAAGCUAUGGACGAAAUUUAUGAAAGGCCAUCUUGUAUAUUUCGUCCAUCUUCUUGUAUGUCAUCAUGGUGGCUUCAAAGUCCGGAAAUCUCCACUUGAACCUCCGUUCUUGUUCUCCUCGCACGCACCUUCAUCUCCG
rnacentral:lncRNA from 1 species